UUUAAGCUUCAUAUAUAAAGAUUUUUCUUUUAUUAGAA
rnacentral:tRNA from 1 species